rnacentral:rRNA from 1 species
AUGGAGAAAAUCAUAACCAAUUGGUGGUGUAAUAAACAUCGGGAUUUUCUCAGUUCUCAUGACAUUCGUUUGAGGACAAUAACGAUGGAAGGUUAUGCAUCCAAUCAGGCAAACAGAGACUUCGUCACAUUCUUCCUAUUUAAUGCGAGGUUACUAUUGUUCAUGGGGCUUAAGUUUUUCAACAAGAAAUUUCUCACAGAUGGAUAUGUUGGACAGCAAAAAAAGAAGAUUCGGGUCGACAAAUGGGCUUAUGAACGUGCUCGGCUUCUAUUUACAACAACUUGUCGUUAUAUGCGAGUAAACUUUUUGGCAUAG